rnacentral:lncRNA from 1 species
ACGAAAUAAUCAGAAGUUCCCGGAAUAAUCUAUGUGGGUUAUAUGCAAUUUUUCCUUAAGGUGUGACUUCACAGUGCUGCAAGGACACACCUUAAGGCGAAAUUUGCAAACAACCCAUACCUCGCCUUUACUGUUAAUUUUUUUUAAAAAGAGCUUUGAAAGUUUUGAGAACAUUUGCUGAGCCACAAUGAACGAAAUACAAAAAUAUACUUUGAAAUUCGUGACAUCGCGCUGACGUACCGAUGCUGGGGUUUCAGUUUGACCUUUUUCACUCCGAAUAUGUAACCUAGUGUCGGUCUAAAUUGCUUUAUUGUUCCUCUUUAUUGUCUCUUUAAUUGACUGCCUUCAGAAUAGCAGGAAAUACAAGCUUCAUUGGGACUGACACGCUGUUAACUUCCACUUACACAAUCAUGAAGUUUGGCAAGUUGAGUUUGCCUCCACUCGAUUUGCAAUUCGUAGCCUUAUGGUGCUACCACAAAAUGGCAGCAGCAUAAGGCUACGUGUUUGAUGACUCAGAUUCUUCCUUAUUACUACACUCUUCAAGAACACCAAUGCAGUUGGUGUUCCAGUAAAGUGGACUUGUUAUAUGAUGUAUGGCUAUGUACGAUGUAUGUGUUUCUUCCCCGAGUUGCAAGGAAGAUUAUUUCUUGAAGAUGAAGUGAUGCAGUGUCAUACUGAACUUCCAACGACAGGGUUCUAGUCAAUAUAAAAAUGAAUUUGAUGGCCAGACUUUGUAGUCAUUCAUAUCCCAAUUAAUUGUUUUCUCCAUUUGUCACUGAUUCGCUAUGUUUGUUGCUUAUUUGUUGCCAGCAGAGGCAAUUGGAGAAACUAAGUUGGCAAACAAGGUUCAACUGUUCGGGAAACUGUCCUGGUUAAAAUUCUGGCUGGACCCCUUAGUGCCUGAAGACUCGCAGCACCUUGUAGUGAACAAGCUAUGGAAUUUGCUAAGGAGUUAAGAUUCAAUGCUGCGUUUGUGCAAUUGUCUGUCCUGUCUUAUUCACUCAUGCAUUAUCUUUUGCACUGUUCAACAUGCAACGGAAGUUUCUGUUGUGUGCACUUAGACACUGUGAUAGCCAGCAGUGCUGACUGUGCAGUUGAUGAACUUUAAGCUUAGUGGCAGCAGGUUGUGCUGUUCACGUUCACCUCCAAGUCAUUGCUCGAAGAGGUAGUUUUAAGUGCAGUCAAUUCUACAAAUCACUCUAUUUCUGGAACCUGUGCUCACUGCAGGCAUGCAAAUACAAGCUGCUGAAUGGAGUUGAGGACAGUUAGUACUACUGUGAAACACAUUAUUCAUGCUACACGGGCCUCUAAAUGACAGACACUGCUACAUGAAGCCAACAGGUGAUGAAGCCAAAAAAUGCCAUAAGGGAAAUGUACCACUUGUUUAAUUAAACUGGCAAAUAAAUAAGACAAAAGGAUUAGAUUUAUGAUGGGGGGUUUCCCAUUGCCACUGUACUAACCUGCAUUGAGAUAAGGAUAGUGCACCACAUAUAAUCUCCUCAGUAAAAUUGCAGCAGCAUCACAAUACUACUCACCUCAGGCAUUGCAUCUGCAUUUGCCCAUGCCAAUACAGGGCCCAAGGAUCACACCUUUUAAAGGACAUUAUGGUGAUGAAAUUGUUUUGCAUGUAUCUUGAGAGAGUUCCGAUUAGAUUUGUGGUGUGAAAUUGGUUAAUAUGGGGAAAAUUUAGAACAAAUAAAAUGAAGUGCUGAAAGAAAAAUCACGCACGCUCGGUUGCAGUUUUACCAGAAAGGUGAUCAUGCAGCAGGUUCUCUUCUUUUGUUUGUCUUGACAGUAAAGGUCUUUAGCAGACAAAUUUCUUAAAAGGCUCAAUGUUUUUUUUUUUUUUUAAAUACACUGCACGCUAGACAUUCAAUUUCGUUCCCAUAAAACAAAUACAAUGUGUCACCAGGCUCAUGUUUCGUGGCCUUGUCAUAUGUUCAGUGGCCAAACAUCAAAGAAUUGUCUAGUCAAUGACGAUUGAUUCUGUUAGGGUGGGACCAAACACAUCAGUCACCAAAAAUACAAGUCACUAGUACCACGUGAUUUACUGUAUUUACUCGUAAGGCCUGCACUUUUUUUUUGUCCAAAUAUUUUAUAGGCUGUAGGCCUUACACGACACAGGCUUAUGGCUACUACUCAUUGAAGCAUCAAACUGUGUUCAGACUGCUGUGCGGAAUAAUACAACCAUUGGCGGUUUGCUAUAAACAUGUUUAUUCAGUCAUCCUUGUGACUUCCACUGCCCUUGAUGUUUGACAUCCUUUCCAUAGUGGCUUGUGCAAAGUUAACCAGCAUGCAGGUAUGCACUAGACACUUAGGAAAUCUUUUUGGCAAGUUUUCACGCACCAAAGCAACGGUGCAGGCCUUACACAAGGUUGAGCCGUACAUGAGUAAAUAUGGUACAACAUGGUACAAGUGAAUGCAACUCUGAUGCAAUCAGUUUAAUUUACAUUCAUCAUCUUUCACACUACAAGAGUGGCUUGGUAAAAGGGUUUCUACAGAGUGCAUGGUGCAUGGUCAGUGAAGAUAAUGUAUACAUACUCAGAAUAAAGCAUAUGCGGUCAACUAGAUGAGUUUGGUGGUAUGCAUUUUAAAAGAUGGGGUGAAGCAAAAGAAGGCUCGCAUUGUUCGCUCCAUUUGCUUCAUUCUAUUUGUGCUAUCUCCAAAAUGUGCGCAUGUUAUCUCAUUGUCUGGUGCUGCAUGUGUCGCCAGUUAAAUAUCAAGUUAAACGAGUUUGGUGUCUUACACUUCGCUGAAAUGCUGAACACCACUAUCAUACAAACAUGCUCCUAGUUGAUGAGCAACUAGGUAUUCAAUAGGGUCGUCAUAGUGUUUAUACACUGCCGUAAAGUCUGUUGAACUGUCUUUAUAGCAAUAUAUUAAAGUUUUGAGAGAACAACUCUUUCACAAGGAUUGUGGUUUGGGGGAGUUCGCAUUCCAUGAUGUGCCGCCCCUGUCUCCUGUUGUUUCCUAGUCUGUCUAGUUUUCUUCAUUCUUUCUUAGUUGUGCUGAUUCAAGAAAACAACUCCUUGUAUUGUCAUAUUAGCAGUGAAAUUGCUAACACUUUGUUAAGCUUUGUGAAAAAAUGUGUUUUAAACAACAUUCAAAGUUAUAUUGUUUGAUACUGGAAUGUUGCAUGUGCAUAGCACACAUAACUCAAUUGAUAUUUAACUGUUACCAUGUCUGUACUGCAUGUUUGUGGUCUUAAAGCCUAUGCGAAAGGAUUUUACUGUGUGCUUUGAUUUGUCUAAUCAGUGCAGAGUGAUACAAAUCUUUGCAUAUCCACUUGAAAUAUAUUGCCUCUUUCUUGUUUGUGUGCAUCCAAUAAUAAUGGGCAUCAACAGUGCCACAUCUAAUAAACAGCUUGUCGCUUCU